rnacentral:rRNA from 1 species
UACGGGGGGGGCAAGCGUUGUUCGGAAUUACUGGGCGUAAAGGGCUCGUAGGCGGCCAACUAAGUCGGAUGUGAAAUCCCCAGGCUUAACCUGGGAACUGCAUCCGAUACUGGAUGGCUUGAAUCCGGGAGAGGGAUGCAGAAUUCCAGGUGUAGCGGUGAAAUGCGUAGAUAUCAGGAGGAAUACCAGUGGCGAAGGCGGCUUUCUGGGCCUACCCUGACGCUGAGGAGCGAAAGCGUGGGGAGCAAACCGG